rnacentral:rRNA from 1 species
GACAGAGGGGGCAAGCGUUGCUCGGAAUUACUGGGCGUAAAGGGCGCGUAGGCGGGAUGGCAAGUCGGUCGUGAAAUCCCUCGGUUCAACUGAGGAUCGUCGAUCGAUACUGCCGUUCUUGAGGAUUGCAGAGGAGACUGGAAUUCCCGGUGUAGCGGUGGAAUGCGUAGAUAUCGUAAGGAAGACCAGUGGCGAAGGCGGGUCUCUGGACAGUUCCUGACGCUGAGGCACGAAGGUCAGGGGAGCAAACGGG